AGAGUUUGAUCCUGGCUCAGGACGAACGCUGGCGGCGUGCUUAACACAUGCAAGUCGAACGAUGACGACCGUGCUUGCACGGUCUGAUUAGUGGCGAACGGGUGAGUAACACGUGAGUAACCUGCCCCUCACUUCGGGAUAACCUCGGGAAAUCGUGGCUAAUACCGGAUAUGAGUCUUCACCGCAUGGUGGUGACUGGAAAGUUUUUCGGUGGGGGAUGGACUCGCGGCCUAUCAGUUUGUUGGUGAGGUAACGGCUCACCAAGGCGAUGACGGGUAGCCGGCCUGAGAGGGCGACCGGCCACACUGGGACUGAGACACGGCCCAGACUCCUACGGGAGGCAGCAGUGGGGAAUAUUGCACAAUGGGCGAAAGCCUGAUGCAGCGACGCCGCGUGAGGGAUGACGGCCUUCGGGUUGUAAACCUCUUUCAGUAGGGAAGAAGCGAAAGUGACGGUACCUGCAGAAGAAGCGCCGGCUAACUACGUGCCAGCAGCCGCGGUAAUACGUAGGGCGCAAGCGUUGUCCGGAAUUAUUGGGCGUAAAGAGCUUGUAGGUGGCUUGUCGCGUCUGCCGUGAAAACCCGAGGCUCAACCUCGGGCGUGCGGUGGGUACGGGCAGGCUAGAGUGUGGUAGGGGAGACUGGAACUCCUGGUGUAGCGGUGAAAUGCGCAGAUAUCAGGAAGAACACCGAUGGCGAAGGCAGGUCUCUGGGCCAUUACUGACACUGAGAAGCGAAAGCAUGGGUAGCGAACAGGAUUAGAUACCCUGGUAGUCCAUGCCGUAAACGUUGGGCAAUAGGUGUGGGGGACAUUCCACGUUUCCGCGCCGUAGCUAACGCAUUAAGUGCC
rnacentral:rRNA from 1 species